rnacentral:rRNA from 1 species
UGGGGAAUAUUGCACAAUGGGCGCAAGCCUGAUGCAGCCAUGCCGCGUGUAUGGAGAAGGCCUUCGGGUUGUAAAGUACUUUCAGCGGGGAGGAAGGGAGUAAAGUUAAUACCUUUGCUCAUUGACGUUACCCGCAGAAGAAGCACCGGCUAACUCCGUGCCAGCAGCCGCGGUAAUACGGAGGGUGCAAGCGUUAAUCGGAAUUACUGGGCGUAAAGCGCACGCAGGCGGUUUGUUAAGUCAGAUGUGAAAUCCCCGGGCUCAACCUGGGAACUGCAUCUGAUACUGGCAAGCUUGAGUCUCGUAGAGGGGGGUAGAAUUCCAGGUGUAGCGGUGAAAUGCGUAGAUAUAUGGAGGAACACCAGUGGCGAAGGCGGCUCUCUGGUCUGUAACUGACGCUGAGGCUCGAAAGCGUGGGGAGCAAACAGG